UCCCCAGGAGACCAGCUACACCCCCAUCCUCACCCAGGUUGAACCCCCGAUAUCCCCCACCACCCAGGAGACCAGCUACACCCCCAUCCUCAACCAGGUUGAACCCCCAAUAACCCCCACCACCCAGGAGACCAGCUACACCCCCAUCCUCAACCAGGUUAAACCCCCGAUAUCCCCCACUGCCCAGAAGACCAGCUACACCCAAACCAAGCCAAAGAAGACGGGGAGAAAGUCCUGUCACCCUGUCACCGUCAAAAAACCCUCCAACUCGCUGAGCAUGACACAGUCAAUCCCAUCCAACCCCAUCCAACACCGACCAAGGAAGAGGAAAUAUGACUACAUGCAAAAACAGUGUCCAGUGCAUCCGGGGCAAACGAUUUUCCCUAUUCUCAAGAUUCUUGCCAAUAGAACUUCAAAGGAGUGGCAAGAAAUGGGACGAUGACUGGAUCAAUGCCGAGGACCGCGUUUCUCCAGUUUAACCUACUUUAUGCACAAAUGUAUUCCUCACUCUCCCUUCACAUGUAUCCCUGUCAAUCAUAAAUGUUUGGUCAAAUUCACCAUGAUUUACCAUUGAAACAUUCAUGGAGCGUCAGCAUGCCAACCAUUUGAUCUCAAUCAGUUUCAUGAGAAUAUGCAUUUAGAUAUUCUUCAUAUAAAGUGAGCUACAAAAGUAUUGCAACAGUGACACAUUUGUUGUUGUUUUGGAUCUGUACUCCAGCACUUUGUAUUUGAAAUUAUGCAAUGACUAUGAGGUUAAAGUGCAGACAAUUAGCUUUAAUUCGAGGGUAUUUUCAUCCAUAUCUGGUGAACUGUUUAGAAAUUACAGCACGUUUUCUACAUAGCCCCCCCCCCCCCUUCAUUUUAGUGGACCAAACGUAUU
rnacentral:lncRNA from 8 species